rnacentral:rRNA from 1 species
UACGUAGGGGGCAAGCGUUUGUCCGGAUUUAUUGGGCGUAAAGAGCGUGUAGGCGGCUAGAUAGGUCCGUUGUGAAAACUCGAGGCUCAACCUCGAGACGUCGAUGGAAACCAUCUGGCUAGAGUCCGGAAGAGGAGAGUGGAAUUCCUGGUGUAGCGGUGAAAUGCGCAGAUAUCAGGAAGAACACCCGUGGCGAAGGCGGCUCUCUGGUACGUGACUGACGCUGAGACGCGAAAGCGUGGGGGAGCAAACAGG